AGAGUUUGAUCCUGGCUCAGGAUGAACGCUAGCGGCAGGCUUAACACAUGCAAGUCGAGGGGCAGCACGUCUUCGGAUGGUGGCGACCGGCGCACGGGCGGGUGCGUAACGCGUAUACAAUCUACCUUUUACAGAGAGAUACCCCAGAGAAAUUUGGAAUAAUACCUCAUAAUAUUAUUGCUCGGCAUCGAGUGACAAUUAAAGUUUCGGCGGUAAAAGAUGAGUAUGCGUCCUAUUAGCUAGUUGGUAAGGUAACGGCUUACCAAGGCGACGAUAGGUAGGGGUCCUGAGAGGGAGAUCCCCCACACUGGUACUGAGACACGGACCAGACUCCUACGGGAGGCAGCAGUGAGGAAUAUUGGUCAAUGGGCGAAAGCCUGAACCAGCCAUGCCGCGUGCAGGAAGACUGCCCUAUGGGUUGUAAACUGCUUUUAUACAGGAAGAAAAACAUCUAUGCGUAGACUGAUGAGAGUACCGUAGGAAUAAGCACCGGCUAACUCCGUGCCAGCAGCCGCGGUAAUACGGAGGGUGCAAGCGUUAUCCGGAUUUAUUGGGUUUAAAGGGUGCGUAGGCGGUCUAUUAAGUCAGCGGUGAAAGUUUUCAGCUUAACUGGAAAAAUGCCGUUGAUACUGAUAGGCUAGAAUAUGGUUGCUGUGGGUGGAAUGUGUGGUGUAGCGGUGAAAUGCUUAGAUAUCACACAGAAUAUCAAUUGCGAAGGCAGCUCACAAAGCCAUUAUUGACGCUGAGGCACGAAAGUGUGGGGAUCAAACAGGAUUAGAUACCCUGGUAGUCCACACCGUAAACGAUGAUAACUCGCUGUCGGCGAUAAACAGUCGGUAGCCAAGCGAAAGCGAUAAGUUAUCCACCUGGGGAGUACGACCGCAAGGUUGAAACUCAAAGGAAUUGACGGGGGCCCGCACAAGCGGAGGAACAUGUGGUUUAAUUCGAUGAUACGCGAGGAACCUUACCCGGGCUCGAACGGUGCAGGAAUAUGUCAGAGAUGUCAUAGCUAGCAAUAGUCUGUAUCGAGGUGCUGCAUGGUUGUCGUCAGCUCGUGCCGUGAGGUGUCGGCUUAAGUGCCAUAACGAGCGCAACCCUUGUCGUUAGUUGCCAUCAAGUAAUGUUGGGGACUCUAGCGAGACUGCCACCGUAAGGUGUGAGGAAGGGGGGGAUGACGUCAAAUCAGCACGGCCCUUACGUCCGGGGCGACACACGUGUUACAAUGGUAGGUACAGAGGGCAGCUACCCAGCGAUGGGAUGCGAAUCUCUAAAACCUAUCUCAGUUCGGAUUGCAGGCUGCAACUCGCCUGCAUGAAGCCGGAAUCGCUAGUAAUCGCGGAUCAGCAUGCCGCGGUGAAUACGUUCCCGGGCCUUGUACACACCGCCCGUCACACCACGAGAGUUUGUAACACCCGAAGUCGGUGGGGUAACCUUUAUGGAGCCAGCCGCCUAAGGUGGGACAGAUGAUUGGGGUGAAGUCGUAACAAGGUAACC
rnacentral:rRNA from 1 species